AAACUUUCAGCAACGGAUCUCUUGGUUCUGGCAUCGAUGAAGAACGCAGCGAAAUGCGAUAAGUAAUGUGAAUUGCAGAAUUCAGUGAACCAUCGAAUCUUUGAACGCACAUUGCGCCCGCCAGCACUCUGGCGGGCAUGCCUGUCCGAGCGUCAUU
rnacentral:rRNA from 1 species